CCUACGGGGGGCUGCAGUGAGGAAUAUUGGUCAAUGGGCGCAAGCCUGAACCAGCCAUCCCGCGUGAAGGAAGAAGGCGCUAUGCGUCGUAAACUUCUUUUCCGGAGGAAUAAAAUUUCGUACGUGUACGGGACUGAAGGUACUCUGGGAAUAAGCAUCGGCUAACUCCGUGCCAGCAGCCGCGGUAAUACGGAGGAUGCGGGCGUUAUCCGGAUUUAUUGGGUCGUAGGCGGACGAAGGCGUAAGUGGUGAAAACCUUCAGCUUAACUGGAGACUUGCCAUUGAUACUGUUAUGCUUGAGUAUAGUGAAGGUAGGCGGAAUGUGUAAUGUAGCGGUGAAAUGCUUAGAUAUUACACAGAACACCAAUUGCGAAGGCAGCUUACUGAGCUAUAACUGACGCUGAUGCACGAAAGCGUGGGGAGCGAACAGGAUUAGAUACCCUAGUAGUC
rnacentral:rRNA from 1 species